rnacentral:lncRNA from 1 species
AUGUUAUUUACAUAUCAUGUUUACAUCACCAUAAGCAUUUCAGAAUAUACAGUAGAGGUGACAAAUAUAUUUAAGGAAUUAGAUCUGAUAGAAAGAGUGCCUGAAGAACUAUGGAUGGAGGUUCGCAACAUUGUACAAGAGGUAGCAACUAAAGCCGUCCCAAAGAAAAAGAAAUGCAAGAAAGCAAAAUGGCUGUCUGAGGAAGCUUUACAGAUAGCUGAGGAAAAAAGGGAAGCGAAAGGCAAGGGAGAAAGAGAAAGAUACACCCAAUUGAAUGCAGAAUUCCAGAGAAUAGCUAGAAGAGAUAAUAAUGCCUUCUUAAAUGAACAGUGCAAAGAAAUAGAAGAAAACAAUAGAAUAGGGAGGACCAGAGAUCUCUUCAAGAAAAUUGGAGAUAUGAAGGGAACGUUUCAUGCAAAGAUGGGCAUGAUAAAGGACCAAAAUGGCAGGGACCUAACAGAGGCAGAAGAGGUUAAGAAGAGGUGGCAAGAUUACACAGAAGAACUAUGCAAGAAAGAGCUUAACGUCCCUGAUAACCACAAUGGGGUGGUCACUGACCUCGAGCCAGACAUCCUGGAAUGUGAAGUCAAAUGGGUCUUAGGAAGUUUGAGCAACAACAAAGCUAGUGAAGGUGACGGUAUUCCAGCUGAGCUAUUCAAAAUUUUAAAAGACGAUGCAGUAAAAGUGCUACACUCAAUAUGCCACCAGAUUUGGAAAACUCAACAGUGGUCACAGGAUUGGAAAAGGUCAGUUUACAUUCCCAUCCUAAAGAAGGGCAAUGCCAAAGAAUGUUCAAACUACCGCACUAUUGCACUCAUUUCACAUGCUAGCAAAGUUAUGCUCAAAAUCCUGCAAGCUAGGCUCCAGCAGUAUGUGGACCGAGAAUUACCAGAAGUACAGGCAGGAUUUAGAAGAGGGAGAGGAACUAGAGAUCAAAUUGCCAACAUACGCUGGAUCAUGGAGAAAGCUAGAGAGUUCCAGAAAAACAUCUACUUCUGCUUCAUUGACUAUGCUAGAGCCUUUGAUUGUGUGGAUCACAACAAAUUAUGGCAAGUUCUUAAAGAGAUGGGAGUACCAGAUCAUCUUAUUUGUCUCUUGAGAAACCUAUAUGCGGGUCAAAAAGCAACAGUGAGAACUGGACACGGAACCACUGAUUGGUUCAAAAUUGAGAAAGGAGUUCGGUAA